GACGAACGCUGGCGGCGUGCCUAAUACAUGCAAGUCGAACGCAGUGGGGACGGGUGAGUAACACGUGGGUAACCUCCCAUCAGAGGGGAUAACACUUGGAAACAGGUGCUAAACCGAUACUGAUGGAUGGACCCGCGGUGCAUUGGCUAGUUGGGGGGGUAACGGCCCACAAAGGCCACGAGGCAUAGCGGACCUGCAAGGGGAAUCGGCCACACUGGGACUGAGACACGGCCCAGACUCCUACGGCAGGCAGCAGGAGGAAAUUUUCGGCAAUGGACGAAAGUCGGACCGUGCCACGCCGCGUGAGUGAAGAAGGUUUUCGGAUCGUAAAACUCUGUUGUUAGAGAAGCGGUAUCUAACCAGAAAGCCACGGCUAACUACGUGCCAGCAGCCGCGGUAAUAC
rnacentral:rRNA from 1 species